rnacentral:rRNA from 1 species
UACGAAAGGGGCUAGGGUUGGUCGGCAUUGCUGGGCGUAAAGCGCACGUAGGCGGCAGUGUAAGUUGGGGGUGAAAUCCCGGAGGUCGACUCCGGAACGGCCGUCAAGACUGCAGAGCUGGAGGAUGCGAGAGGUGAGUGGAAUUCCGAGUGUAGAGGUGAAAUUCGUAGAUAUUCGGAAGAACCCCUGUGGCGGAUGCGGCUCACUGGCGCGUUUCUGACGCUGAGGUGCGAAAUCGUGGGGAGCUAACAGG